CAUAUUUUUUUCACGAAACUAACAGAAUUUGCAAAGGUAGCAGGGCAGCCGUACUCGCUUCGCAUGAAUAAACUGAUCAUGAAUAAAAAAAAGGUACGUUUACUGCGCAGUAACUGACAGCGUACGCGAAA
rnacentral:lncRNA from 1 species